CGCUGCUCGGGGAGGUCCCCCGCCGCCCGGCCUCCCGGGGUGUCCCGGGCUCGCGCAGGACGCAGAAGGGCAGUGGAGCCAGGAGCUUGGGACCCAGAGAGCCCCAGAUGGGGCAGGGUGUCUUGGGAGGAGGGAGUUCUGGCCUGCGCUUGGAGCUGGGGCUGGCUGUGGGCCCUGCAUUGAGGCACAUCUCUCCGAGGGUGCACAGGCAGACCCUUCAGAGACUUCCUGUUGCUCUGAGGACACUCAUCCCAGCCGACCAGGCCCACCAGGCCCCCAACAGCACUACCUGGCUGGGGUCACGUGCGGGU
rnacentral:sRNA from 1 species